UCCCCAGGUGUCAGUGACACAGGAAGC
rnacentral:piRNA from 1 species